UCAAGCAAGAAAGAGCGCAGGGUGGAUGCCUUGGCACUAAGAGCCGAAGAAAGACGUGAUAAGCUGCGAAAAGCUGCGGGGAGGAGCAAAUGUCCAUUGAUCCGCAGAUGUCUGAAUGGGGAAACCCGUCUGGAAGAACUCCAGUCACUGCAUGCUGAAUACAUAGGCAUGCAGGGGGAACCCGGUGAACUGAAACAUCUAAGUAGCCGGAGGAAAAGAAAGAAAAAUCGAUUUCCAAAGUAGCGGCGAGCGAAAUGGAAGGAGCCCAAACCGGGAUGCGUGCAUUCCGGGGUUAUGGACCGCAAGAAGUGACCCGUAAGAUAGAAGAAUGGCAUUGGGAAAGCCAGCCACAGAGGGUGAAAGCCCCGUAUUCGAAAUCAGAAGGGAGCGAGCGGAAUCCGAAGUACUACGAGACACGUGGAACCUUGUAGGAAAUCGGGGGGACCACCCCCCAAGGCUAAAUACUCCUUAGUGACCGAUAGCGCAUAGUACUGUGAAGGAACGGUGAAAAGAACCCCGGGAGGGGAGUGAAAGAGAACCUGAAACCCUGUGUUUACAAGCUGUGGAAGAGCUUUACAUGCUCAACCGCGUACUUUUUGUAGAACGGUCCGGCGAGUUACUCUUACUGGCAAGGUUAAGCACCAAAGGUGUGGAGCCGAAGGGAAACCAAGUCUUAACAGGGCGAGUUAGUCAGUGUGAGUAGACCCGAAACCGGGUGACCUACCCAUGUCCAGGAUGAAGUUGCCGUAAAAGGCAAUGGAGGUCCGAACACACAUCCGUUGAAAAGGGUGGUGAUGAGGUGUGGGUAGCGGAGAAAUUCCAAUCGAACCCGGAGAUAGCUGGUUCUCCUCGAAAUAGCUUUAGGGCUAGCCUCAAUUUAGUCUUGCGGAGGUAGAGCACUGAAUAUCCUAGGGGGCGUCAAAGCUUACCGAAGAUUAUCAAACUCCGAAUGCCGUAAAGAUGAUGAUUGGGAGUCAGACUGCACGAGAUAAGUUGGGUAGUCAAAAGGGAAACAGCCCAGACCUCCAGCUAAGGUCCCAAAGUGAGUGUUAAGUGGAAAAGGAUGUGGGAUUUCGAAGACAACUAGGAUGUUGGCUCAGAAGCAGCCAUUCAUUCAAAGAGUGCGUAAUAGCUCACUAGUCGAGAGGUCCUGCGCCGAAAAUGUCCGGGGCUAAACACUACACCGAAGCUGAGGAAUGACAAUGUCAUUGGUAGAGGAGCAUUCUUAACUGCGACGAAGCUGUACCGAAAGGAGCAGUGGAGUGUUAAGAAGAGAGAAUGCCGGAAUGAGUAGCGAGAGUGAGGUGAGAAUCCUCACGGCCGAAUAUCUAAGGUUUCCAGGGUAAAGCUGAUCUGCCCUGGGUAAGUCGGGACCUAAGGCGAGGUCGAAAGACGUAGUCGAUGGACAACAGGUUGAAAUUCCUGUACUGCAAUGUAUCAGAAAUGUGGGGACACAGACAGAGAGCCGGAGCCGGGAAUGGAGAAACCGGUGCAAGCGAGGUAGGAGAACAGCAGGCAAAUCCGCUGUUCAAUCUGAAGACGUGACGCGGAGCGAAAUUAAAGUAGCGAAGCCGGUGAGCUGGCUGUCAGGAAAAGCCGCUAUUGUGUACAUUGUACCCGUACCGUAAACCGACACAGGUGGAUGAGGAGAGAAUCCUAAGGCCGACGGAAGAAGCAUUGUUAAGGAACUCGGCAAAAUGACCCCGUAACUUCGGGAGAAGGGGUGCCCACUUCAGGGUGGGCCGCAGAGAAUAGGCUCAAGCAACUGUUUAGCAAAAACACAGGUCUAUGCGAAACCGUAAGGUGAAGUAUAUGGGCUGACGCCUGCCCGGUGCUGGAAGGUUAAGAGGAGAGGUUAGUCGCAAGAUGAAGCUUUGAAUUUAAGCCCCAGUAAACGGCGGCCGUAACUAUAACGGUCCUAAGGUAGCGAAAUUCCUUGUCGGGU
rnacentral:rRNA from 1 species